rnacentral:rRNA from 1 species
CGUGGAGACAGGUGGUGCAUGGCUGUCGUCAGCUCGUGUCGUGAGAUGUUGGGUUAAGUCCCGCAACGAGCGCAACCCUCACCCCUAGUUGCCACCGGGUAAAGCCGAGCACUCGAGGGGAACUGCCAGCGUCAAGCUGGAGGAAGGCGGGGAUGACGUCAAGUCAUCAUGCCCCUUACGCCCUGGGCUACACACGUGCUACAAUGGCCGGUACAAAGGGACGCGAGACUGCAAAGUGGAGCUAAUCCCAAAAAACCGGUCUAAGUUCAGAUUGCAGUCUGCAACUCGACUGCAUGAAGGAGGAAUCGCUAGUAAUCGCGCAUCAGCACGGCGCGGUGAAUACGUUCCCGGGCCUUGUACACACCGCCCGUCACACCACGAAAGCUGUCUGUACUCGAAGUCGCUGAG